UCAAUUGUUAACAAUUUUCAUAAUUUUUUGUUAAUUUUUGUAAAUUUUUAGGAAAUAUUUUCCACUGUAAUUACUGGGCCAAGUUCAUUAUAGAUAGAGAUAAUUGUAGCAACAAGAAUGUUCAGUAAAGAAAGAUCUACAAACACAUCACCAUCACCAAAACACCAUUUUGUCAUGAAUUUAUCUGUGUCCAUUGUUAAUAUGCACAUAGACCAAGGUGAGCGAC
rnacentral:lncRNA from 1 species